rnacentral:rRNA from 1 species
UACGUAGGGUGCGAGCGUUAAUCGGAAUUACUGGGCGUAGAGCGUGCGCAGGCGGUUAUGUAAGACCGAUGUGAAAUGCCCGGGCUUAACCUGGGAACUGCAUUUGUGACUGCAUGGCUAGAGUGUGUCAGAGGGGGGUAGAAUUCCAGGUGUAGCGGUGAAAUGCGUAGAUAUCUGGAGGAACACCGGUGGCGAAGGCGGCAUCCUGGACCGACACUGACGCUGAGGAGCGAAAGCCAGGGGAGCAAACGGG